rnacentral:rRNA from 1 species
UACGUAGGGAGCAAGCGUUGUUCGGAUUUACUGGGCGUAAAGGGCGCGUAGGCGGCGCGGUAAGUCACUUGUGAAAUCUCUGAGCUUAACUCAGAACGGCCAAGUGAUACUGCAGUGCUAGAGUGCAGAAGGGGCAAUCGGAAUUCUUGGUGUAGCGGUGAAAUGCGUAGAUAUCAAGAGGAACACCUGAGGUGAAGACGGGUUGCUGGGCCAACACUGACGCUGAGGCGCGAAAGCCAGGGGAGCAAACGGG